rnacentral:rRNA from 1 species
UGGGUCCAACCUCCCACCGUGUUAUCGUACCUUGUUGUUUCGGCGGGCCCGCCGUUUUGACGGCCGCCGGGGAGGCCUUGCGCCCCCGGGCCCGCGCCCGCCGAAGACCCCAACAUGAACGCUGUUCUGAAAGUAUGCAGUCUGAGUUGAUUAUCGUAAUCAGUUAAAACUUUCAACAACGGAUCUCUUGGUUCCGGCAUCGAUGAAGAACGCAGCGAAAUGCGAUAAGUAAUGUGAAUUGCAGAAUUCAGUGAAUCAUCGAGUCUUUGAACGCACAUUCCGCCCCCUGGUAUUCCGGGGGGCAUGCCUGUCCGAGCGUCAUUGCUCCCCUCAAGCACGGCUUGUGUGUUGGGCCCCCGUCCCCCUCUCCCGGGGGACGGGCCCGAAAGGCAGCGGCGGCACCGCGUCCGGUCCUCGAGCGUAUGGGGCUUUGUCACCUGCUCUGUAGGCCCGGCCGGCGCCAGCCGACACCCAACUUUAUUUUUCUAAGGUGACCUCGAUCAGUA